rnacentral:tRNA from 1 species
GGGGGUAUAGCUCAGUGGUAGAGUGCAUGCUUGGUGUACAUGAGGUCCUGGUUUCAAUCCCUGGUUCCUGUG